UCUCGUGGCCCAUGUGGUAAGAGUAUCCGCCUUGCAUGAGGUAGGUCGCGGGUUCGAGCCCCGGCUGAGUCAU